UGGGGGAAUUUUGGACAAUGGGCGAAAGCCUGAUCCAGCAAUGCCGCGUGUGUGAAGAAGGCCUUCGGGUUGUAAAGCACUUUUGUCCGGAAAGAAAUGGCUCUGGUUAAUACCUGGGGUCGAUGACGGUACCGGAAGAAUAAGGACCGGCUAACUACGUGCCAGCAGCCGCGGUAAUACGUAGGGUCCAAGCGUUAAUCGGAAUUACUGGGCGUAAAGCGUGCGCAGGCGGUUGUGCAAGACCGAUGUGAAAUCCCCGAGCUUAACUUGGGAAUUGCAUUGGUGACUGCACGGCUAGAGUGUGUCAGAGGGGGGUAGAAUUCCACGUGUAGCAGUGAAAUGCGUAGAGAUGUGGAGGAAUACCGAUGGCGAAGGCAGCCCCCCGGGAUAACACUGACGCUCAUGCACGAAAGCGUGGGGAGCAAACAGGAUUAGAUACCCUGGUAGUCCACGCCCCUAAACGAUGUCAACUAGCUGUUGGGGCCUUCGGGCCUUGGUAGCGCAGCUAACGCGUGAAGUUGACCGCCU
rnacentral:rRNA from 1 species